rnacentral:rRNA from 1 species
UACGGAGGGGGCUAGCGUUGUUCGGAAUUACUGGGCGUAAAGCGCGCGUAGGCGGACCUGCAAGUCGGGGGUGAAGCCCGAGGCUCAACCUCGGAACUGCCUUCGAUACUGCGGGUCUCGAGUCCGGGAGAGGUGAGUGGAAUUCCUAGUGUAGAGGUGAAAUUCGUAGAUAUUAGGAAGAACACCAGUGGCGAAGGCGGCUCAGCUGGCCCGGUACUGACGCGUGAGGCGCGAAAGCGUGGGGAGCAAACAGG